rnacentral:rRNA from 1 species
UACGCUGGCGGCACGCCUAACACAUGCAAGUCGAACGCAGUAGCAAUACUGAGUGGCAAACGGGUGAGUAUAAUGUGGGAAUCUGCCUUUUGGUUCGGAAUAACACGGGGAAACUUGUGCUAAUACCGGAUAAGCCUUUACAGGGAAAGUUUUAAUGCCAAAAGAUGAGCCCGCACUUGAUUAGCUAGUUGGUAAGGUAAAAGCUUACCAAGGCAACGAUCAAUAGCUGUUCUUAGAGGAAGACCAGCCACAUUGGGACUGAGACACGGCCCAGACUCCUACGGGAGGCAGCAGUGGGGAAUCUUGCACAAUGGGGGAAACCCUGAUGCAGCGAUGCCGCGUGAGUGAAGAAGGCCUUUGGGUUGUAAAACUCUUUCGUCGGGGAAGAAAAUGACUGUACCCGAAUAAGAAGGUCCGGCUAACUUC